UACGUUUUUAAAUUCCUAAAAUGUUCUUUCUGACAGAUAUCAUAUUUUCCGUCUUAACUGCUACCAAUGCAUUGGCAGCCUCGCAGUACCGUGUACAACCCCGUAUCUGUCUAAUAAAGGAAAAGUCGCAGAAUAAUGUCAAUGGAACCAAUGUCACGUACACAAUAAUAAGUUGCUACAAUUCGUGGUGUUGUAAAGAGGGUUGCUGUAACUGGUACAUCAAUUUAUCUGUUUGGAUUACUGCUCUGCUGAUUUCCAUAUGCAUCUAUGUUUUCUUAAAAGCACUUCUAUAUAAGUUUUGGUGUAGCAAAAAUGACAAAGGUUUGUUAGACGUCACGGUGAAAAAGGACGCCGAUUGUGCAUGAGCUAAUUUCAAGAUAACGAAAAUUUUCAUUUUAUUGUAGACGUGCAGCGAUUGUACAAAAACCAUGAAAAAUAAAGUGUGUUUCAGAUUUCAGCAAU